UACGUAGGUCCCGAGCGUUGUCCGGAUUUAUUGGGCGUAAAGCGCGCGUAGGCGGCUUUUCAAGUCAGGGGUGAAAUCCCACGGCCCAACCGUGGAACUGCCUUUGAAACUGUAGAGCUUGAGUGUCGGAGAGGGUGGCGGAAUUCCAGGUGUAGGAGUGAAAUCCGUAGAUAUCUGGAGGAACACCGGUGGCGAAGGCGGCCACCUGGACGACAACUGACGCUGAGGUGCGAAAGCGUGGGUAGCAAACAGG
rnacentral:rRNA from 1 species